rnacentral:rRNA from 1 species
AGUGAACGCUGGCGGUAGGCCUAACACAUGCAAGUCGAACGGCAGCACAGUAAGAGCUUGCGCUUACGGGUGGCGGGUGGCGGACGGGUGCGGAAUACAUCGGAAUCUACUUUUUCGUGGGGGAUAACGUAGGGAAACUUACGCUACUACCGCAUACGACCUACGGGUGAAAGCAGGGGAUCUUGCGACCUUGCCCGAUUGAAUGAGCCGAUGUCGGAUUAGCUAGUUGGCGGGGUAAAGGCCCACCAAGGCGACGAUCCGUAGCUGGUCUGAGAGGACGACCAGCCACACUGGAACUGAGACACGGUCCAGACUCCUACGGGAGGCAGCAGUGGGGAAUAUUGGACAAUGGGCGCAAGCCUGAUCCAGCAAUACCGCGUGGGGGAAGAAGGCCUUCGGGUUGUAAACCCCUUUUGUUGGGAAAGAAAAGCAGCAGGUUAAUACCCCGCGGUUCUGACGGUACCGAAAGAAUAAGCACCGGCUAACUACGUG